GAUGAACGCUAGCUACAGGCUUAACACAUGCAAGUCGAGGGGUAACGAGAGGAAAGCUUGCUUUCCUUGUCGACGACCGGCGCACGGGUGAGUAACGCGUAUCCAACCUGCCCCCAACUAGGGAAUAACCUUGCGAAAGUAAGACUAAUACCCUAUAAUUUCCUCAGAUGUCAUCUGACGAGGAAUAAAGAUUUAUCGGUUGUGGAUGGGGAUGCGUCUGAUUAGCUGGUUGGCGGGGUAACGGCCCACCAAGGCAACGAUCAGUAGGGGUUCUGAGAGGAAGGUCCCCCACAUUGGAACUGAGACACGGUCCAAACUCCUACGGGAGGCAGCAGUGAGGAAUAUUGGGCAAUGGGCGGAAGCCUGAAUCAGCCAAGUAGCGUGCAGGAUGUCGGGCCUUUGGGUUGUAAACUGCUUUUAUGCAGGAAUAAAGUUAGCCACGUGUGGUUAUUUGUAGGUACUGUAUGAAUAAGGACCGGCUAAUUCCGUGCCAGCCGCCGCGGUAA
rnacentral:rRNA from 1 species